AAUGAUGAAAAUGUUGAUGUUAAACCCAUGAAAUUUGAUUGAGUUGUGGGAAUGAUGAAAAUGAUGAUGUUAAACCCAUGAAAUUUGCUUGAAUUGUAGGAAUUAUAGAAAUGAUGAUGUUAAACCCAUGAAAUUUGAUUGAAUUGUGGGAAUGAUGAUAAUGUUGAUGUUAAACCCAUGAAAUUUGAUUGAAUUGUAAAACCCAUGAAAUUUGCUUGAAUUGUAGGAAUUAUAGAAAUGAUGAUGUUAAACCCAUGAAAUUUGAUUGAAUUGUGGGAAUGAUGAUAAUGUUGAUGUUAAACCCAUGAAAUUUGAUUGAAUUGUGAGAAUGAUGAAAAUGUUGAUGUUAAACCCAUGAAAUUUGAUUGAAUUGU
rnacentral:lncRNA from 1 species